rnacentral:lncRNA from 1 species
UCCUCAGUAUCCACAAGCUUCCGGCCAGCAGUGCCUCGGACAUCAGCUUCCCCAUGAAGGGCUGGCGGGCCACGGGAGACUGGGCCAAGGUGCCGGAGGACAGGGUGACCGUGUCCAAGAGCGUCUUCUCCACAGGGCUGGCAGGUGAGGGCCUCCAGGGCAGGGGCUGCUAGGGAACUCAGGCCCCAGAGUUGGAGGACCUGUCACCUGAGCAGUCCCUCUGGGGCCCAGCUCCCUGCCCCGAGGGGCAGGGCUGCAUCCUUGUUACUUCCUGGUGCUCUGGAGUUCAUCCCCCUACAGGGGGACAGUGCCUGGUGGUCACCUGGAACCCCGGUGGGCUGAGCUAAGUGACCGGUGGACCAGCUCUCUGCGGGGGGGGGGCUGGCUGGACUUGUGGGGGCAAGGGUCCCCAUUCCCGGGGGAGAAGCGAGUCCUGCCUGCCCUGCAGCCCUCGGUGUCACUCCAGGAGGGCGCAGCUCUCCCUCUCCCACAGGGGACCCAGGCAGUUGCCCCAGGUCCCAGCCAUAACUGUUCUGGGUGGAAGGGCCUGCAGAUGGGCAGGGCAGUGGGCCCAGGGCAGCAGGCAGCAUGGGUGGGGUGACCGUGUGCUUCCUUCCAGAGGCCGACGACACCUCCGUGUUCGUGGUGGGCACUGUGCUAUACCGGAACCUGGGCAGCUUCCUGGCCCUGCAGAGGUGGGCAGGUGGGGUGGACGAGCCCUCCACAGGAGGCGUGAGGGAGCCUUGGGCGGGUGGGCUGGCCUCGAGGGGCCAGGAGGGCAGAGGCCCGGAGCAGGGGUGGAGGGGCCAGCUCCUGGGGAGGCCGGGCUACAGACCAGCCCCUGACGUUGCUGCUUCCCACCAGGAACACCACAGUCCUGAACUCCAAGGUCAUCUCGGUGACCGUGAAGCCCCCGCCUCGCUCCCUGCUCACACCCCUGGAGAUCGAGUUUGCCCACAUGUACAA